GCGUCUCGUCACACCCCUACUCAUUAGUAUCAAAAAGAAAGACAAAAGAUGCUUUGGAAUUACAUAAAGUAUGUGUGCGUACAUACCCCUUAAUACAGGAGUUGUAGGCGGUGGUGGCUUUAAAUCCCAGGAUGGCGAAGAUGGGAAUGGAGGCGUAGAGAGAUGUGGCACUAUUUAUUAAUCCUACUAGAACAGCAUCCCUCUCACAGUUGUUUCUAAUUGACACAGAACAGAAAAAAAGUCAUACACAAAUCCUCCCAAUUUUACUGAGGGUGUUAAGGAGUUUUAGGCCUUACUUCUCUUCGUUGUAGCUGGAGAAAGCUAUGAGACCUCCAGAGGCCACAGAGAGAGAGAAGAAGAUCUGGGUGGAAGCGUCUAGCCACACCUGAGGGUUCUUCAGUAUCUCCCACUACAGCGUGUGUAAACACAGCACUUCAGGUCAUUGUGUCCAGCAUACAAUCUUACAUAAACCUGUAUUGGCAACAAGUGACCAAACUCACAUCAGGAGUGAAGAGGUACACCAGUCCAUCAGUUGCUCCAGGCAGAGUGAGGGCACGGAUCAGGAAAAUAGUCAGCACCAGAUAAACAGACCUUUCCCACGGACUCGAUGCCUUUGAUGAAGCAGAUGUAGACCACACACCAGGCACUGGCCAGACAGAUGACCAACCACCACUGCAGGGAGCCACUGGUCUCGAUGUCAGAUGUUUGAGACUGGUGGAUGACUUCCUUCUGAUCACCCCCAGCACAACGCUUUCUCAAGGAAGUGCAGUCUAGAGCGGCAUCUGUGGGAUCUGAGGCUGGCCAGGGUUCGACAGGGCUCCAGAGGACUUUUUGGCCAUGCAGAUGUAGACCAUAGUAGACUACCAGCCAGCCCCAAUUACAGCUCCCAUCACAACCAUGAAACAGCUCAAAGCCAUCGUUGCAGUAGGGAUUUAGGUCUUUGCGAGCAGCAGAGGACCUCCUGAUUCUACAGCAGAUCAGUUUGUAGAGAGCCACCAGAGGGAUGGAGAUCACAGGUACUACACAGAGGAGGAUGAUUAUGGCAAACACCCAGUCUGGAUAGGGCUUCACUUCAG